AACGCUGGCGGCGUGCCUAAUACAUGCAAGUCGAACGGUCUUUCUAUGGAAGCUUGCUUCCACUGAGAAGAUAGUGGCGAACGGGUGAGUAACACGUGGGUAACCUGCCCAUAAGAGGGGGGAUAACAUCCGGAAACGGGUGCUAAUACCGCAUAGUUUUCUUGAUUGCAUGAUUGAGAAGGAAAGACGGCCUUUGUGCUGUCGCUUAUGGAUGGACCCGCGGCGUAUUAGUUAGUUGGUGAGGUAACGGCUCACCAAGACGAUGAUACGUAGCCGACCUGAGAGGGUGAUCGGCCACAUUGGGACUGAGACACGGCCCAAACUCCUACGGGAGGCAGCAGUAGGGAAUCUUCCGCAAUGGACGAAAGUCUGACGGAGCAACGCCGCGUGAGUGAAGAAAGGUUUUCGGAUCGUAAAACUCUGUUGUCAGAGAAGAACAAGUUGGAGAGUAACUGCUCCAGCCUUGACGGUAUCUGACCAGAAAGCCACGGCUAACUACGUGCCAGCCGCAGC
rnacentral:rRNA from 1 species